rnacentral:rRNA from 1 species
GACGAACGCUGGCGGCGUGCUUAACACAUGCAAGUCGAACGAAGUGGCGAACGGGUGAGUAACGCGUAAUCAACCUGCCCUUCAGAGGGGGACAACAGUUGGAAACGACUGCUAAUACCGCAUACUGAAGGAGGGGAUUGCGUCUGAUUGGCUCGUUGGAGGGGUAACGGCCCACCAAGGCGAUGAUCAGUAGACGGGCUGGAGGGGUGGACGGCCACAAUGGGACUGAGACAAGGCCCAGACUCCUACGGGAGGCAGCAGUGGGGAAUCUUUGGCAAUGGAGGGAAGUCUGGCGGAGCAACGCCGGGUGAGUGAUGGCGGGCUUCGGGUUGUAAAGCUCUGUUAAUCGGGACGCGGUACCGGAAUAGAAAGCCACGGCUAACUACGUGCCAGCAGCCGCGGUAAUUC